AGUGAACGCUGGCGGUAGGCCUAACACAUGCAAGUCGAACGGCAGCACAGUAAGAGCUUGCUCUUACGGGUGGCGAGUGGCGGACGGGUGAGGAAUACAUCGGAAUCUACUUUUUCGUGGGGGAUAACGUAGGGAAACUUACGCUCAUACCGCAUACGACCUACGGGUGAAAGCAGGGGAUCUUCGGACCUUGCGCGAUUGAAUGAGCCGAUGUCGGAUUAGCUAGUUGGCGGGUUAAAGGCCGACCAAGGCGACGAUCCGUAGCUGGUCUGAGAGGAUGGUCGGCCACACUGGAACUGAGACGCGGUCCAGACUCCUACGGGAGGCAGCAGUGGGGAAUAUUAGACAAUGGGCGCAAGCCUGAUCCAGCCAUACCGCGUGGGUGAAGAAGGCCUUCGGGUUGUAAAGACCUUUUGUUGGGAGAGAAAAGCAGCAGGUUAAUACCCCGCUGUUCUGACGGUACCCAAAGAAUAAGCACCGGCUAACUUCGUG
rnacentral:rRNA from 1 species